rnacentral:rRNA from 1 species
CCUACGGGAGGCAGCAGUGGGGAAUCUUCCGCAAUGGGCGCAAGCCUGACGGAGCAACGCCGCGUGAGUGAAGAAGGUCUUCGGAUCGUAAAGCUCUGUUGAUGGGGACGAACGUGCGAAGGGUGAAUAAUCCUUUGCAAUGACGGUACCUAUCGAGGAAGCCACGGCUAACUACGUGCCAGCAGCCGCGGUAAUACGUAGGUGGCGAGCGUUGUCCGGAAUCAUUGGGCGUAAAGGGAGCGCAGGCGGGCAUGUAAGUCUUUCUUAAAAGUUCGGGGCUCAACCCCGUGAUGGGAAAGAAACUACAUGUCUUGAGUACAGGAGAGGAAAGCGGAAUUCCCAGUGUAGCGGUGAAAUGCGUAGAUAUUGGGAGGAACACCAGUGGCGAAGGCGGCUUUCUGGACUGCAACU